GUCUUCGUGGUGUAGUGGUCAGCAUGCUCGACGCGAACUCGAGAGUUCCGUGGUUCGAAACCCGGCGAAGACG